rnacentral:rRNA from 1 species
GACGAACGCUGGCGGCGUGCCUAAUACAUGCAAGUAGAACGCUGAAGGAGGAGCUUGCUUCUCUGGAUGAGUUGCGAACGGGUGAGUAACGCGUAGGUAACCUGCCUGGUAGCGGGGGAUAACUAUUGGAAACGAUAGCUAAUACCGCAUAAUAGUAGAUGUUGCAUGACAUUUGCUUAAAAGGUGCAAUUGCAUCACUACCAGAUGGACCUGCGUUGUAUUAGCUAGUUGGUGAGGUAACGGCUCACCAAGGCAACGAUACAUAGCCGACCUGAGAGGGGGAUCGGCCAAACUGGGACUGGGACACGGCCCAGACUCCUACGGGAGGCAGCAGUAGGGAAUCUUCGGCAAUGGACGGAAGUCUGACCGAGCAACGCCGCGUGAGUGAAGAAGGUUGUCGGAUCGUAAAGCUCUGUUGUAAGAGAAGAACGAGUGUGAGAGUGGAAAGUUCACACUGUGACGGUAUCUUACCAGAAAGGGACGGCUAACUACGUG